AAUAGAUACCCGGGUAGUCCACGCCGUAAACGAUGGAUACUAGCUGUUGGGGGCGACCUCAGUGGCUAAGCGAAAGUGAUAAGUAUCCCACCUGGGGAGUACGUUCGCAAGAAUGAAACUCAAAGGAAUUGACGGGGGCCCGCACAAGCGGUGGAGCAUGUGGUUUAAUUCGAUGAUACGCGAGGAACCUUACCAAGGCUUAAAUGCAGACUGACCGUUUUGGAAACAGAACUUUCGCAAGACAGUCUACAAGGUGCUGCAUGGUUGUCGUCAGCUCGUGCCGUGAGGUGUCAGGUUAAGUCCUAUAACGAGCGCAACCCCUGUUGUUAGUUGCCAGCGAGUAGUGUCGGGAACUCUAACAAGACUGCCAGUGCAAACUGUGAGGAAGGUGGGGAUGACGUCAAAUCAUCACGGCCCUUACGCCUUGGGCUACACACGUGCUACAAUGGCCGGUACAGAGAGCAGCCACCUCGCGAGAGGGAGCGAAUCUACAAAGCCGGUCACAGUUCGGAUCGGAGUCUGCAACUCGUACG
rnacentral:rRNA from 1 species